rnacentral:rRNA from 1 species
UACGUAGGCAGCGAGCGUUGUUCGGAGUUACUGGGCGUAAAGGGUGUGUAGGCGGUUGUUUAAGUUUGGUGUGAAAUCUCCCGGCUCAACUGGGAGGGUGCGCCGAAUACUGAAUGGCUUCGAGUGCGGGAGAGGAGAGUGGAAUUCCUGGUGUAGCGGUGAAAUGCGUAGAUAUCAGGAGGAACACCGGUGGUGUAGACGGCUCUCUGGACCGUAACUGACGCUGAGACACGAAAGCGUGGGUAGCAAACAGG